rnacentral:rRNA from 1 species
AGGGUUUGAUCAUGGCUCAGGACGAACGCUGGCGGCGUGCUUAACACAUGCAAGUCGAGCGGAAAGGCCCUUCGGGGUACUCGAGCGGCGAACGGGUGAGUAACACGUGGGCAACCUGCCCUCAGCUCUGGGAUAACUCCGGGAAACCGGGGCUAAUACCGGAUACGACCUUCCCUGGCAUCGGGGUGGGUGGAAAGUUCUUCGGCUGAGGAUGGGCCCGCGGCCUAUCAGCUUGUUGGUGGGGUGACGGCCUACCAAGGCGACGACGGGUAGCCGGCCUGAGAGGGCGACCGGCCACACUGGGACUGAGACACGGCCCAGACUCCUACGGGAGGCAGCAGUGGGGAAUAUUGCGCAAUGGGCGGAAGCCUGACGCAGCGACGCCGCGUGAGGGAUGAAGGCCUUCGGGUUGUAAACCUCUUUCAGCAGGGACGAAGCGAGAGUGACGGUACCUGCAGAAGAAGCACCGGCCAACUACGUGCCAGCAGCCGCGGUAAUACGUAGGGUGCAAGCGUUGUCCGGAAUUAUUGGGCGUAAAGAGCUCGUAGGCGGUCUGUCGCGUCGGCUGUGAAAACUCGGGGCUCAACCCCGAGCCUGCAGUCGAUACGGGCAGACUUGAGUGCUGUAGGGGAGACUGGAAUUCCUGGUGUAGCGGUGAAAUGCGCAGAUAUCAGGAGGAACACCGGUGGCGAANGCGGGUCUCUGGGCCAGUAACUGACGCUGAG